rnacentral:lncRNA from 1 species
GAGUUUUUUUAUAUUCUGGUUCUUGAUCUCUAUGCCCCCGUUUGGUUCGGGGUUAAGAAAAAGUAGCUAUUACAGGAAUAGGGUUAAGUUCAGGAUUAAAAUGGUGUUAAAAUUUUUUUGUGUUUGGUUGGAGGUUGGAGUUAGUCUAGGAUAGUGAAAAAAAAUGUUUGGUUGGAAUAGAUGGAUAAGAAGAUAAUGAUUGAUAAAGAAGAAAAAGGUGAGAGCUCGAAAUGCGUGCGGGGUUAAAGUUGGGAGGGGGAGUGGGGUUAAUGAUUGAUAAAGAAAAAAAAGGUAAGGGCUUGGGAUGCGUGCGAGGUUAAAGUUGGGAGGGGGAGUAGGAUUAGUAAACCUCACUAACCCGGUUUGGGGUGGGAUUUACUAACCCCACCCCAAAAAAGUGAUGUUUGGGUAUAAAUUGGGGGUUAAGGGGUUAUUCCACCCCUUAA